ensembl:lncRNA
AGGGAAAAGGAGGGAAAGGAAUAUUAUGCUGCCAACAGUAGCAUCGUCUGUAGUGACAACACCGUGGUAAGAAAGGAACAGGAUGAAAGGAGGUAUCGCUAGUGACCAGCCUUGAUGACCACGUGCUGCAACUGGAGUUAGAAAUUUGGAAGAAUCUCUGGGAAAACGUCACUUCUGAGAGAAGAGCAGGUCAACCAACACUUCACGUGAAAUGGGGCGAGUUAGGGACCUUCCAUCCUUACGGCAGCGAUGAGGCUUUUUUGUAGUUCCUAAGAGCAACCGCCUAAUGCACGAAUGGAGGGAAAGAAACAGAUGGAGGACCCCGGAACUCAGGUUAGCAGACAUUUAUUUCUAAGUAGCAUGUUUUAGGCAGACCUCGGGUCCCGUUAAAGAGAGAAGGACCGCCCGUGACUGCGGCGCAGGAAUUCUCUGGACUCUUCUAGCCAGAAGACGCACCAGCGAGAAGGCUUCAACUGAAGAUCACCUUUGCUUAGAUGUGGGAGCCUGCUCCGAGCAUCCAGGCUUUCAUCUGCAGGAGAUCAAGUGGAGCCGUCAAAGAAAGAACAACUCCCAGCCCCUCCUUGUGCCAGUUCAAGACCGAGACCCACGGGGGGACAGAUGUCCCAGCGCGAUCCUGCUCACAAGAUGAGCGGUGGGGCCCACAGCCCCAGCUCGUGGUCCUCGCCCUCUAAGACUUUAUCGUUCCAAGUACCGUCUGCUCAGAAAUAACCCGAAUGCAGCCCCAGCCUCCUCUUUUCUUGCCUCCUCCCAUCCUCUCCACCUCGCUCACGCCUCCUGGGCACUGGCUGGCUUUCCGCUCAAGGAACAGGGCAGGCGAGCCCUGUUCUCUCUAGGCUCCCUUUGCCCGUGUGUCCUGCCUCACUGCAGCGCCCUGCGGGGCUCACGGUCUUCCUUCCUCAGUGUCCGUAAAAGUGGGACUUGAUCCACGCGGGCUUCCCAGGGCACCUUCUGCAGGACAGCUCUGCCCCCGCCCCACCUCUGUCUUUUUGAUCCUGUUUCAUCGUCUGUAGAUUCUUAUCUCCACCAGAUAGACUGGGUAAUUUUAGACUCUUUCCUUGCUUCUGCCCCUUGAAUGUGACCUUUCUGAAAGCAGAGUCUUGAUCCAUUUUGUUUGUACCCAUCUCCCAAGCCUAGACUAGUCGCUGGCUCUUAGUAGGUGUGCAAUGAAUAUUUGUCGACUAUAUGAAUUUGAGGAAAAGCACAAAAUGCCCUUUUGGACUGAAGAUGAAAGACACAGCGGCUCCAGUUGGCAGAAUCACGGCGGCUUUGGGAAGAUGAUGUGAAUUUACCAAGUGCCCUGGUCAGUGGUGGUGAAAGGUUGUAGCAGAUGACUCAUAAUUAAAUAUCUUUCACACACUGGGUUUUUGCACGUGCACGCACACAGAUGCACACGUAUUUUAAUUAUGACAAGCCAUUCGGCUAGUUUCUAAACUAGAGGACACCCCGUUAAAUUUGAAGUUUAGAUACACAAUGAAUAUCUUUAUUAUAACUAGGUCUCAUGCCAUAUUUAGGGAAACUUAUAGCAAUUAUUUCUUUAUUGUUUAUCUGAAUUUAAAUUUAACUGGGCACCCUAUAUUUUAUCUAGCAAGCUUAUGCUAUAGGGAACAACAUAAUGAGAGGUAUGGGUGAUUUUUCAGAGCUCAGAAUUUACAUAAUUAAUGUAGGAAAGACAAAGCAGGGAAUGGCAAAAGCUAGAAUUCAUUCACAUUCUCCGCCCGCUGCAGCUCUGGGGCAGAUUCAGGGUAUUUAUCUUAUAGCCACACCCCCAGAUGAGGUUUUGUGUUUUUUCCCAUUUUAGAAUCUCCCUUAACUGGACUCUUCUUACAGUUUUUGAGAAUUCUAAGAUGUAUUUAUUUUAAUGUUGCUUUUUUGUUCCCCAUACUGUCUCCAGAAUUUCAUAGAGGACCUUGUCCGAAAUGACUCACAGUCUAUGGUGGUGGCUAUUUGGCUUUCUUGAUAUCUUUUUAUCAAAUAUAACUCUCAAUUCCACGCUCUUUAUUUGGGACACAUUUCUUUAGUGCUAAUUCUUAGCAUUAAUGCUGACCAAUGAUGGGAAUCCCUUUUAAUAGAUUGUAAUUUUAAAAUUACAGUUAUGUUGAAAUUGAAAUAACCACAAGAUCGUUGCCAAAACGACUCACGAAAAGCUUAUUUCAGAAAAACAGAAGCAUGACUCAAAAUGAUAUGGACAAAAGAAGAAUAUUUCUGUUUAGCAGCUAAAGAGAUGCUUUUGUAAGUUUAAAACAUAAAACUUUGAGGUUGUAAGAUUCUUGAUGGCUUUUUAAAGUUAUAAAUUAAUUUUAAAAAAAUUAUUUCAAAUUUCGUGCAUAUAGAGAGGAAUUAUGAAUAUUUCAAGUUGCUUGCUUUAAAUAUUCGCAUGAAAUGCAAUGGCCUUGAGUGGGACUCUCUGACCGCCAAGGCUUAGAAGUACUUUGGUAGGUCAUACGACCGACCGGAAGUCAGACAAUUACCAGCAAAUGUAUUCGGUGUGCUGUCAAGUUUUAAAACCCAGUAUUCAAAGAAGGGAGAGACCAUCGGGACUGGGACAGUUGGAAAAGCUUCGCCAAGAAAGGGGGGGCUCAAUGUGUGCCGUGGAGGGUGGACUGCGGGCGUUUUCUCCGAGAGGAGGGUGACCGUAAGGCCAGGAAGAAGCAGUCUGCACGCAACUUCGGAGAGGAAAUAAGAAUAAGAGGCUGUACAAGAGCCAGAGAUGAUGGAGGACACAAGGAAAAAGUAGAACUGCUUCUGUUCGGAAUUUCUGGGCCGUAAUCCUAGACGAGAAGCACAGACUCUAGACCUAAGGUCACUGGCUGCAGAGCUGUCAUACAUGCCACCACGGGAGUCACGUUCAUUGCAAAGUCGGCUCCGCAAAGCUGGCUCCGAACUUGGGUGUACCUCUCCCAGCCGAAGAGACCGCAGGAACUGGCAUUUUCCUUCUUCCAGCGCUCCUUUAAGGAAAGUCAUCAUCCUUCUCAGAUGUUUGAGCUUGUGGGGUGACUUCGACUCAGAAUGAAGACCCGCAGACUCCUGUCUGUGGCUACAAAUGGAUAUUUAGGUCUCUGAGAAUUUCAAGUGAUUGGCCGCUUUGAGACCAGAAGGUGAGAGACGAGCCUCAUCCUGAGUUUUGGCCACAGGCGGGUCGAAUCGGGCACUAAGAUGCCUUUCCAAGCAUUAGUCUCCUUAAGACCAGGCACACUGUUCAGAGGGCUGCCCCUUCCUGGCCAUUGUCCCCCACGAAAGAGGAAGGUAUUUGGGGAAGAUGUAUUUUGCCAGCUCGUCCAUCGGAGAAUAUUUGUUCACUAAUGUAUUUCGUGAACACUGUACAAGUUACCCGGGACAGUUCCUUCUGAUCAUGUACCGCCCAGAUUUACACUCCGUGACUUCGUAGAAGAUGCAGCUCUCAUCCCCGGAGUGAGCAGUUGUGCGGCGGCGGCGAUUUGCAGAAUGAAGCUCUUCUUUGCAGACACU